rnacentral:rRNA from 1 species
UUUUUAGAGAGUUUGAUCCUGGCUCAGGACGAACGCUGGCGGCGUGCCUAACACAUGCAAGUCGAACGAACGAGACGAGAGCUUGCUCUUGUCGAGUUAGUGGCGGACGGGUGAGUAACGCGUGAGCAACCUACCUUCUUGAGGGGGAUAACGUUUGGAAACGAACGCUAAUACCGCAUAAGAUAUCGGUGUCGCAUGGCAGAGAUAUUAAAGGAGAAAUCCGCAAGAAGAUGGGCUCGCGUCCGAUUAGCUAGUUGGUGAGAUAACAGCUCACCAAGGCAACGAUCGGUAGCCGGACUGAGAGGUUGAACGGCCACAUUGGGACUGAGACACG